UACGUAGGGGCAAGCGUUGUCCGGAUUAUUGGGCGUAAAGAGCGUGUUAGGCGGCUUUACAGGUCCGUUGUGAAAACUCGAGGCUCAACCUCGAGACGCCGGUGGAAACCGUAAAGCUAGAGUCCGGAAGAGGAGAGUGGAAUUCCUGGUGUAGCGGUGGAAAUGCGCAGAUAUCAGGAAGAACACCCGUGGCGAAGGCGGCUCUCUGGGACGGUACU
rnacentral:rRNA from 1 species